GCCCUGAAGGGCGUAUGGUGGAUGCCUUGGCAGACAGUACCGAUGAAGGACGUUUGAGGAUGCGAUAAGCCUCGGGGAGCCUCCAACAUGGCUUCGAUCCGAGGAUUUCCGAAUGGGGCAACCCGCCGGCCGUCAUGGGCCGGCACGGAACCUUGUUGUUCCGGGGGUACGCAGGGAAGUGAAACAUCUCAGUACCUGCAGGAAGGGAUACUCCGUGAGUAGUGGCGAGCGAAAGCGGAUCAGACCAAACCAUGGGCGCGUGAUACCCGUCGGGGGUUGCGUUCGUGGUGUUGCGGGAGCGUGUGUCCCGGUUCCGACGGACCGGGCGGGAGUCAUAAAACGGCUUGCCAGGGGAACAGGCUUGAAGGCCUGGCCGCAGAGGGUGCCAGCCCCGUACCUGGAAGCUUGCCGUCUUCCGAUCAUGUGUCCCAAGUAGCGCGGGCCUCGUGGAAUCCCGUGUGAAUCGGCCCCGACCGUGGGGUAAGUCUAAGCAUACCUGUCUGACCGAUAGCGUACCAGUACCGUGAGGGAAAGGUGAAAAGCACCCCGGGAGGGGAGUGAAAGAGUUCCUGAAACCGUGCGCCUACAAUCCGUCGGAGCCUCCUUGUGGGGUGACGGCGUGCCUAUCGAAAAAUGAGUCUGCGAGUCAGUGGUGCGUGGCGAGGCUAACCCGUGGUGGGGGAGCCGUAGCGAAGGCGAGUCUCAAAAGGCGUUUUGAGUCGCGCGCCCUGGACCCGAAGCGGGAUGAUCUAGCCCUGGGCAGGUUGAAGCGCGGGUAAGACCGCGUGGAGGACCGAACCCACCUGGGUUGAAAACCGGGGGGAUGACCUGGGGCUAGGGGUGAAAGGCCAAUCAAAUUCCGUGAUAGCUGGUUCUCUCCGAAAUGCAUUUAGGUGCAGCGUCGGUUGAUUGCAUCGCGGGGGUAGAGCUACUGGAUGCUUGCGGGCCCGUGUCGGGUACCAAUAGCAGCCAAACUCCGAAUACCGUGGAUGUGUAUUCCGGCAGUGAGUCGGCGGGGGAUAAGCUCCGUCGUCGAGAGGGAGACAGCCCAGAUCGUCGUCUAAGGUCCCGAAGCGUGUGCUAAGUGGGAAAGGAUGUGGAGUCGCAUAGACAGCCAGGAGGUUGGCUCAGAAGCAGCCAUCCUUGAAAGAGUGCGUAACAGCUCACUGGUCUAGUGGUUCCGCGCCGACAAUGUAGCGGGGCUCAAGCACACCACCGAAGACGCGGCAGCGGCCUUUGCGGCCGUUGGGUAGGAGAGCGUCCCGCGUGGGGCGAAGCGGCCGGGGAACCGUGCCGUGGACCGCGCGGGAGUGAGAAUGCAGACAUGAGUAGCGAGAGACGGGUGAGGAUCCCGUCCGCUGGAUGACCAAGGGUUCCGGGGCCACGUUCGUCGUCCCCGGGUGAGUCGGGUCCUAAGGCGAGGCCGACAGGCGUAGUCG
rnacentral:rRNA from 1 species